UCUCGAUUUUUCUGAGCUAAGCUCCAAUCCUACCCAGGCGUCUCCAUCUUCUCUCUCUCGAUCUCUCCUCUAAAUUUCAGCCUUUUGCUUCGUCCUUUGUGCCAAGCCAGAGCAUCUCCUACGCUCUGCCAAGGUAAAGUUUCGUUUUUUUGUAGGUUUUCGUUUGCCGGAGUCUGGUUCUUCGAUCUCAUGGUCACCUCCGGCUGGUCAGGUCGUAGGGAGACGCUUCUUCACUCUCCUUCAGGGUUGUAAUCCGAUUCCAAUGGUUGCUGAUCCAGAAGUAUUUGUGGUUCAACUAAGAUCAGAUCACUUGUUCUUUGUCGUUGCGAGUGAUGGUGUCUUUGAGUUCCUUUCGAGCCAAGCUGUUGUCAACAUGAAGCUCGGCAAUUGUGGUCCCAUCACCUACACAUCAUCAGACUUUGCAGAUGAUAAGUAUAUGGAGACUCUAAUUUCGCACUGCAGCCCUUUCUCUGGGACAACAUUUACUCAUAAAUUUAAUUCUUGUAGAUCAAAAAUUGUGAAAGAUAGGGUUGUCUUUCGAAUAUGCCUGCACAUAUCUUUCUUAUGUUGAAUAUGAAUAUUUGGUUGGUCAC